UACAGAGGUCUCAAGCGUUGUUCGGAUUCAUUGGGCGUAAAGGGUGCGUAGGCGGCGCGGUAAGUCGGGUGUGAAAUCUUGGAGCUUAACUCCGAAACUGCAUUCGAUACUGCCGUGCUUGAGGACUGGAGAGGAGACUGGAAUUUACGGUGUAGCGGUGAAAUGCGUAGAUAUCGUAAGGAAGACCAGUGGCGAAGGCGGGUCUCUGGACAGUAACUGACGCUGAGGCACGAAGGCCAGGGGAGCAAACGGG
rnacentral:rRNA from 1 species